ensembl:lncRNA
GACACUUCCUGGUAUUCUGGCAAUCCCUCUUUCUCUAUCUUCCCUGAGGGAUAGAUGCAGUAACUCUCAUGUAGGUCUGUCCAUGGGGGCUGGAUUCUCCAUUAGUUAUUGAUCUCUGCAUAGUGUCCAGUUGUAGUUUUCUAUGCUGGUCUCCAUUUUCUGUAGAGAGGCUUCUUGGAUGAGUGGUGGUAGCCACAUGUAUCUGUGGGCACAAAAGGAAGUUUUAGAAUGAGGUAAGGAGUUAUGCUGCUCUAACAAAGUGCUGAGAGGAGGUAUUUAUCAUCGAAGGGCCAUGACCUCACAAGCCCUGGGAAGCUGGCUAGGUUUCCAGCAUUACACAGUGAAUCUGUCUCUCUUGUUAAGUCCAAUUAGACAGCUCUUGAUUACCACCAACAUGUGAGUGCCACUUACUGUCACUUUAUGGAUGUUUUACCUUACUGACCAUUGUGGUAGUUGCUAGGUUUUGCAGUUGGGUAGGACUAGUAGGCUCUCUUGGCAGGUUUCAUAGUAUUCUAGGCCUAUGAAGGAUAGACUACAGGAAAGUAGACUUCAGUUAGAUCCAGAUUGAAUCACCAGGGUCCUGUGUCUUAAGUGUGCAAUAUCUUCAGGAAUAGUGGCCCAGCCUUGACCCCUGAGAGGCAGAUAAGGGCUACGUUGAUAAUCUCUGUUGUUUCAGGAGUCACUUGGACUCCCCCAAGCACCCAUUUGAAAGGAAUUUUCUUUUUUUACUGGGGGUUUUUGUUCACCUAGGCUCUUGUGGGAAGCGUUGCUAACCAAAAUAUAUAUGCAAUUCAUAUAUGUAUUGUGGGUAAUUUUAAGUAAAGAUAAAAAUAUGGCUGUUACCUUUGUCUCUCAUCCCCUCUUCUCUUUUCUAGUGGCCUCCCUCCCUCAGCCGAAGCACCUGCACGGAAACAGAACCAUAAUCCCUUCCCUACUGAACUUCCCAAUCAAGGACAUACAUAGAAGGCACAGUAAUUCCAGGGGCUGGUGUGGUGACUCUGCAUCUGUGGGUCCCUGGAACAAGUGUUUUGCUUGCUUGGGACACAGCUCUGUGCAGUUACUGUUUUUUCAUUAGAAAAC